UACUGUACGGUUCAGGUAUCUUAGUCAGUCUUUCAAGUGAAAGUGUUUUUACUUUCUUUCAGAUAAAAGCAGUCAGUAAUAGUUUGACAACAGCCUAAGCAAGCAACAGGAUGAUAUCAUGAUGUCCCAAGAGCACGGGUUUUAUCUCACUGUGCAGUAGCCAUGGGAGAUCUUGCUGGCAGUUCACAAGCUCACAGAUACAGUGCUGGCAUGUGGUGAAAGCCUCUGAGCAUAAGGAGGGCUAGUGGGAAAAAGUUAUGAAGUAGUAACAUCCCAAUUCUCCUGCAAAAUUUCCUUCAUGAGAGGCAGCCAGCACUUCUAGAUGAUGUAACGGAGAGGAGGGUGCUGAGAUGCAGUGCAGCACGGUCAUACUUCCAAGGAAGAACUAUAAAUGAAGGGUAUGGAAAGGGAAGAAGCUUCAGGAAGUAUCAAGGAAAAAUUGUUAGACACAGCCCGAGACCAGUGGCUCUCUCUGCAAGACUACUCCAUUAAAAACAAAAAAAGAUUCAAGAGUUUGAAUAUUAAGUCUUAGAGAAUGCUUGUAGUAUCGACAGUUAUUUCUAACUGUACUGGGGCAGUGUCUGGCAACAUUUAUGUAGGCAAAAAAAUAAAGAUUUAUGUUUCUG
rnacentral:lncRNA from 1 species